rnacentral:rRNA from 1 species
ACGGGAGGCAGCAGUGGGGGAUAUUGCACAAUGGAGGAAACUCUGAUGCAGCGACGCCGCGUGAGGGAAGACGGUUUUCGGAUUGUAAACCUCUGUCUUCAGGGACGAUAAUGACGGUACCUGAGGAGGAAGCCACGGCUAACUACGUGCCAGCAGCCGCGGUAAUACGUAGGUGGCGAGCGUUGUCCGGAAUUACUGGGUGUAAGGGAGCGUAGGCGGGUAUGCAAGUUGAAUGUGAAAUCUAUCGGCUCAACUGAUAGGCUGCGUUCAAAACUGUAUAUCUUGAGUGAAGUAGAGGCAGGCGGAAUUCCUGGUGUAGCGGUGAAAUGCGUAGAUAUCAGGAGGAACACCGGUGGCGAAGGCGGCCUGCUGGGCUUUUACUGACGCUGAGGCUCGAAAGCAUGGGUAGCAAACAGGAUUAGAUACCCUGGUA